rnacentral:rRNA from 1 species
UACGAAGGGGGCUAGCGUUGCUCGGAAUCACUGGGCGUAAAGCGCACGUAGGCGGAUUGUUAAGUCAGGGGUGAAAGCCUGGAGCUCAACUCCAGAACUGCCCUUGAUACUGGCAAUCUCGAGUCCGGAAGAGGUAAGUGGAACUCCGAGUGUAGAGGUGAAAUUCGUAGAUAUUCGGAGGAACACCAGUGGCGAAGGCGGCUCACUGGUCCAUUACUGACGCUGAGGUGCGAAAGCGUGGGGAGCAAACAGG